GCCACCUAGAAAAAAAUAUAUACAUUUAUUUAUCACAAAGAAAUUCAACAAUAACAAGAUUUAUGACUUAUUUGGGGAAAAAUCAUAGUAAAUAAAUAUAGAUUACUACAAAAUCACAGUUUUAAACAAAAUACACAGAUUUUACAACUAACAGAGUAAAUGUACCCUGAAUAUCAGGACCAGUACAAAGAGUAACACAGGCUAUUGAGGAAUAUGAAUAAAGUUAUUAGCACUAUAGAGUGCAUGAACAUGAAAACGAUAUAAGAUACAUAUCCUGCACAUGAAAUACCCACCAGACCAACCAGGUAUUUGGAUACCAGAUAUAUAUAAAUCAGAUUAAACUAUACUAACAUGAAAUACCCGCCACAACAUCCAGGUAUUUGGAUACCAGAUAUAUAUAAAUCAGAUUAAACUGCACUGACAUGAAAUACCCGCCACAACAUCCAGGUAUUUGGAUACCAGAUAUAUAUAAAUCAGAUUAAACUGCACUGACAUGAAAUACCCGCCAGACCAACCAGGUAUUUGGAUACCAGAUAUAUAUAAAUCAGAUUAAACUGCACUGACAUGAAAUACCCGCCAGACCAUCCAGGUAUUUGGAUACCAGAUAUAUAUAAAUCAGAUUAAACUAAACUAACAUGAAAUACCUGCCAGACCAACCAGGUAUUUGGAUACCAGAUAUAUAUAAAUCAGUUUAAACUGCACUGACAUGAAAUACCCGCCAGACCA